rnacentral:rRNA from 1 species
UACGUAGGGCGCAAGCGUUGUCCGGAAUUAUUGGGCGUAAAGAGCUCGUAGGCGGUCUGUCACGUCGGAUGUGAAAGCCCGGGGCUUAACCCCGGGUCUGCAUUCGAUACGGGCAGGCUUGAGUGUGGCAGAGGAGGGUGGAAUUCCGCGUGUAGCAGUGAAAUGCGUAGAGAUGCGGAGGAACACCGAUGGCGAAGGCAGCCCUCUGGGCCAACACUGACGCUCAGGCACGAAAGCGUGGGGAGCAAACAGG